UAAGCAGCUACACCAUGGACUUGGUGCCAAGCUGCGUUUUCCUCCUGAUCAUUUCUCAAGGUGUCCAGUGUGAGGUGCAGCUGGUGGAGUCUGGGGGAGGCUUGGUGCAGCCUGGGGGGUCUCUGAGACUCUCCUGUGCAGCCUCUGGAUUCACCUUCAGUAGCUAUGGGAUGAACUGGGUCCGCCAGGCUCCAGGAAAGGGGCUUGAGUGGGUCUCACGCAUUGGUAGUGAUGGUAGUAGUUACAUAUACUACGCCGAUUCUGUGAAGGGCCGCUUCACCAUUUCCAGAGACAAUGCCAAGAACACGCUGUAUCUGCAAAUGAGCAGCCUGAGAUCUGAGGACACCGCUUUGUAUUACUGUGCAAGAUACACAUUGAGGUGA